UGAGAGCUAUGUCGUCGACUUUGGUUAU
rnacentral:sRNA from 1 species